AGAGUUUGAUCCUGGCUCAGGACGAACGCUGGCGGCGCGCCUAACACAUGCAAGUCGAACGAGCGAGAGAAGCUUGCUUUCUCAAGCGAGUGGCGAACGGGUAAGUAACGCGUGAGGAACCUGCCUCAAAGAGGGGGACAACAGUUGGAAACGACUGCUAAUACCGCAUAAGCCCACGACCCGGCAUCGGGUAGAGGGAAAAGGAGCAAUCCGCUUUGAGAUGGCCUCGCGUCCGAUUAGCUAGUUGGUGAGGUAACGGCCCACCAAGGCGACGAUCGGUAGCCGGACUGAGAGGUUGAACGGCCACAUUGGGACUGAGACACGGCCCAGACUCCUACGGGAGGCAGCAGUGGGGAAUAUUGCACAAUGGGGGAAACCCUGAUGCAGCGACGCCGCGUGGAGGAAGAAGGUCUUCGGAUUGUAAACUCCUGUUGUUGAGGAAGAUAAUGACGGUACUCAACAAGGAAGUGACGGCUAAAUACGUGCCAGCAGCCGCGGU
rnacentral:rRNA from 1 species